GAGAGCGUAUAGGGGUGUCCGCGGAGGUCGGGGGGCAUGCUUUUGGCCUCCGCUUUUGGGAGUUUGGGAUUAGGGGUACCGCCUGAGGCUGCGUAGCCGCGGCGGCGGUCUCCAUCGCUGGCUCUACUUCUAAGGUCAGCAUCUGGAGUGGCUGCGGCACGUCCUUCUGCGACGUAGACUGGGAAGCCGUCGGCGGGGGUGCGUCCUUCUCCGCGGUAGUCUCCAACGGCUCCGGCUUCCGCUGGUGUUCUCCUUCGAGCUCCUCCAGCUGCGCCCGCGCCUCCGGUUGCCGCGACCCCUCCUGCGGUUCGCUGGCGCGCACCUUCCGUUGCCGCGUCUACGGCACGUUUUGUCACUCAGGAGGCUCGGGGUCCUCGGUCAGCGACACUAAUGGCUCCCCCGCCGUCUACGGGUCUUACGGCUCCGACGAGGACGGCCGCUAGACGUCUGUUCAAGACUCCAGUUCGGAGUCCUCUGACGUUGACUUCGUGGUGGUGUUGUAGUUCUUCCGCUACGUUGGCCACGGGACGUCCUCUGAUGGGCGGAUUAACUACACGGGUUAUGGUUCCAGCCACAAGAUUAUCCUUUUCGCCCACUUUGUUAGUCUUUGGACGUUUACUCGAGUCCGCGCUUCUAGGUUUAGUGUUUCCUACGUCUACAAGGAAGUCUACGGUGCUGAGCAGGUCAGCUUAACCAACCUUGAUUACUCUCAUAACUGUUCCGACUCGUCGAAUAAUUCUCACAAUAUCGGCUCCGACUCCGACCGCCAAGGGGACGGAACUAUCGGUUUCCAAAGCCUAGACCAGUCAGUCCAAGUCUCGUCAAACUCUACGAUCAGGGACUAUUAUUCCAACCAAAUUAAUAACCUUUUCCUCCACUCUGUUAAUUUUUGGACGUUUGGGCUAGACCACGAGCUUAGGUCAAUUAAGGAGUUGUAGGAGGCCGCCCAUGAUGUGACUGACUUUCCUGACAUGCACAAUGACCGUUAUUCUUCGUCUAUCUUCGACGUUUUCUCAACUAAUUCGUUCGAUACUCAGUCUGUAAAGGUUCUUUGUGUUGAGUCAGACCACCGAUACCAGGCGUUGUAGUGGUGGGAGUCCCAGUACCGGGUCGAAGAGUCACCCCCGGUGCAAGAGUUGGAGUCGUCAUACCUAUAGGUGGUUCUCCCGGAGGAGUCUUGCGCGGUAUGAGAGUUGGGGGAAUACCACCAAUGGGUGUCGUCGGUGGUGGUUCUCCACCGUACCCGACCCUGGUCUCCGUCCCGGGAGGCGGAGUGGUCCCACCACCAAUACUGAUGAUGUUUGUCCCUAGAGUUGGUAUACUUUCGGUCGGUGGUUUGAUGGGGGGACCUGGUCCAUUGAUGUUGUCGAUACCGGGUAGUGUUCGAGGUUCGAUACCUGUCGGAGUCAUAGGCGUCAGACGCGGAGGUGUCUUGAUACCGGGACCUAUACCACUAGGAUCCAUGUCACGAGGUCGAGGUCGGGUCGUCAUGAUACCCGUCGGUGGUCGGCCAGGCGUCGUUCCAAUGGGAGUUGUCGGUCUAGGAAUACGAUCUGGAGGUAUGCCACCUGGACCUGUUACCGGUGGGUCUCCGUCACGUGGACGUCUACCACGAAUGGUCCGUGGUGGGGGACGUAGAAUACGAGGCGGUCGGGUCGUUGGAGGACGAAUACCAGUUUGUAUGGGUUGACCUGGACUACCCAUACGAGUCGUCCCAAUGAGUGUCGUCCCACCCGUUCCCGGUCGUCGUAUACCAGUCUCACGAGGCCGUCCUGGUCCCAUGUCAGUCGUUCCGCCGAUACGCGUCAUAGGACGUAGCGUCGGUCGUAUGCCACUAGUCAGUCGAGUUUUGUUGCGUUUGAUACCGAUAGUCCCUCGGGGUCGACUAGGGUCGAUACCUUUACGGAUGGGUGUCAGUCCUAUACGACGACGUGGCUGUUGACCAGUCGGACCUAUACCAGUCCGUCCUAUAUGGGUCGGUGGUCGAUGUUUGGGUGGUUCAAUACUAGUCAGACGCGGCGGUGGCCGUCGAGUUUCACCGAUACGACGUGGACGACGUUUGGGUGUCGGACGCCAACGUUUCCCGCACAGCGGAGUCGGACGAUGACGACGACCUAUACCGCCCGUCACCUGACGGACUGAAGACAAGACUUCGGGGCGACUUUCGUUCUAUAUAAACUCUCGAUAUACAAAACAGUGGAGGACAAAAUUUAGAAACCCUACUCCGAACGGGAGAUUUUCAAAUAUGAGAGACAUCAUGAUCAUCUAACAAUACAAUUGAAACUAGAAGGAUAACUCAACUUUUCUCUUGGACCAAUCGAAUAACGGACACUCUCAUUAAAGACGUACAGAACGAACAAAAACAACGCGAAAUCGAUACAAGUAAGAAGACGAACGGCUUCGUUAAAACUG
rnacentral:rRNA from 1 species